GCAUAAUUUGUAAUUUUUAUUUUGGACCUUCACCUUGUCUGCUUCAACGAUUUUCUCAUGUUGCUAGACGUAGUAACAUAUAUCAUUCUAUGCUCAUAUGAUAGGUUUGGCAAUCUCAUAUACCUUUACCCUAUUAUUUGAUUGAAAAUUAUCCAUGCAGCCAAAUGUUCGCAUCAUUCCACUAAUCUGCUUAAAUUUUAUCCUCAACCUGCAGGUUUGUACAGGUACA
rnacentral:misc_RNA from 1 species